rnacentral:pre_miRNA from 1 species
CAUGCACCAGUGGGGUCCCUCGGCCUGGCCUGCGCCCUCUCACAAUCUGGGACCCCUCAAGGGGUAUCAGAGAGCUGGUUUCAGCCCAAUCCCACAGGCCAGGCCGAGGGACCCCACUGGUGCACA